GGUGAAGCCAAUGAGCUUUUCUGGAUUUAUUCAGACAUAUUCAGUAUAAUCUCUUUAGAAUCCGAGACUGUUUCUCUUAAUAAUAUUUUUUUCAAAGAUCGAACCUAAAUUUUCCUAUCUCUACACCUAAUACCUUUGCUUUCUUGUUUGGAAUCCCACUGUGUUCUCCAUAAAAUUCCUACCCAAAUCAAGAUCAUCCGAUAAUAGCUGAGUUUUCACAUUCGAAUUCCAUCUUCCAUCACCAACUUAACCAUUAAAGGAUAAAUUUACCUCUAGCUUGAUUGGCUUGAAUUUAGAGUCCUUGGACCCCUCAUUGAAAGUGACCAUAGCAAUGGUACAUUUUUGACUGUAUGUUCAAUCUGUGACCUCGUAUAGCUUCUGUAAUUUUCCUGGAAAAAUCUCGCCUUAGUUUAUGAGCUAAGUCGAUGGGGGGCCCGA
rnacentral:misc_RNA from 1 species